UACGUAGGGCGCAAGCGUUAUCCGGAAUUAUUGGGCGUAAAGAGCUUGUAGGCGGUUCGUCGCGUCUGGUGUGAAAGCCCAUCGCUUAACGGUGGGUUUGCGCCGGGUACGGGCGGGCUAGAGUGCAGUAGGGGAGACUGGAAUUCUCGGUGUAACGGUGGAAUGUGUAGAUAUCGGGAAGAACACCAAUGGCGAAGGCAGGUCUCUGGGCUGUUACUGACGCUGAGAAGCGAAAGCGUGGGGAGCGAACAGGAUUAGAAA
rnacentral:rRNA from 1 species